ensembl:lncRNA
UAGUAUAUGACAGUAGUAGGUGAUAGGUGUAGGCAACAGUAGUAGGCGAUAGUUGUAGGCGAUAGUUGUAGGUGAUAGUAGUAGGUGAUAGUAGUAGGUGAUAGUAGUAGGUGAUAGUAGUAGGUGAUAGCAGUAGGUGAUAGUAGUAGGUGAUAGUAGUAGAUGAUAGUAGUAGAUGAUAGUAGUAGGUGAUUGUAGUUGAUGAAUGUAGAAGAUGAUUGUAGUAGGUGAUAGUAGUAGAAGACACUGGUAAAUGACAGAAGUAAGUGAUAGUAGUAGAUGAAAGUUGUAGGUGAUUGUAGCAGGUGAUAGAAGCAGAUGAUAAUUGUAGGUGAUAGUAGUAGGUGAUAGCAGUAGGUGAUUGUAGUAGGUGAUAGUAGUAGAUGAAAGUUGUAGGUGAUUGUAGCAGGUGAUAGAAGCAGAUGAUAAUUGUAGGUGAUAGUAGUAUGUGAUAGUAGUAUGUGAUAGAAGUAGAUGAUAGUAGCAGAUGAUAGAAGUAGAUGAGAGUAGUAGAUGACAGUAGUAGAUGAUAGUAGUAUGUGAUAGUAGUUGGUAAAAUUAGUACACGAUAGCAGUAGAUGAUAGUAAAAUGUGAUAGUAGAAUGUGAUAGUAGUAGGUGAUAGUAGAAGAUGAGAGUAGUAGAUGAUAGAAGUUGGUGAUAGUUGCAGGUCAUAAUAGCAUAUGAUAUUAGUAGGUGAUAGCAGUAGGUGAUAGUAGCAGGUGACAGUAGUAGGUGACAGUUGUAGGUGACAGUAGUAGUUGAUAGUAGUAGGUGAUAGUAUUAGAUGAUAGUAGUAGGUGAUAGUAGUAGCUGAUAGUAGUAGGUGAUAGUAGUAGAUGACAGUAGUAGAUGAUACAUGAUAGCAGUAGGAGAUAGAAGUAGGUAGUAGGAGGUAAUAGUUGUAGGUGACAGUAGUAGUUGAUAGUAGUAGGUGAUAGUAUUAGAUGAUAGUAGUAGGUGAUAGUAGUAGCUGAUAGUAGUAGGUGAUAGUAGUAGAUGACAGUAGUAGAUGAUACAUGAUAGCAGUAGGAGAUAGUAGUAGGUAGUAGUAGGUAAUAGUUGUAGGUGACAGUAGUUGGUGAUAGUUGAAGGUGAAAGUAGUUGUUGAUAGUAGUAGGAUAUAAUAGUUGAUGAUAGUAGUAGGUGAUAUUGUAGCUGUCAGUAGUAGUUGAUAGUUGUAGAUGAUAGUAUGACAUUAUAGUAGUAGGUGAUAGUAGGAGGUAAUAGUAAUAGAUGAUAGUUGCAGGUGAAAACAGUCGGUGAUUGUAGUAGGUGAUAAUAGUAUUUGAUCGUAGUAGGUGAUAGUAGUUUGUGAUUGUAGUAGAUGACAGUAGUAGGUGAUAGUAGUAGUUGAAAAUAGUAUAUGAUAGUGGUAGAUUAUAGUAGUAUAUGAUAGUAUUAGGUGAGAGUAGUUGAUGACAGUAGUAGGAGGCAGUAGCAGAUGACAGUAGAAGGUGACAGUAGUAGAUGGUAGUAGUAGGUGAUAGUAGUUGAUGACAGUAGUAGGAGGCAGUAGCAGAUGACAGUAGAAGGUGACAGUAGUAGAUGACAGCAGUUGGAGAUAUUAGUCAGCGAUAGAUGUAUUAGAUAGUUGUAGGUGAUAGCAGUAGGUUAUAAUAGUAGGUGAUAGAAGUUGUUGAAAAUAGUAGAUUAUAGUAGUAGGUGAUAGGAGUAGAUGACAAUAGUAGAUGAUAGAAGUUGGUGGUAGUUGUAGAUGAUAGUAGUAGAUGAUAUUAGUAGGUGAAAUAGUAUUUGAUAGUAGUAGGUGAUAGUAGUCUGUGAAAGUAGUAGGUAAUAGUAGUAGGUUAUAGUAGCAGGUCAUAAUAGCAGAUGAUAGUAGUAGGUGAUAGCGUAGAUGAUAGUAGCAGGUGACAGUAGUAGGUGACAGUUGUAGGUGACAGUAGUAGGGGAUCGCAGUAGUUGAUAAUAGUAUAUGAUAGUGGUAGAUUGUAGUAGUAUAUGAUAGUAGUAGGUGAUAGUAGUUGAUGACAGUAGUAGGAGGCAGUAGCAG